UAUCAUCGCAAGCAAAACAUUCCGUCGGAAUUUGAAACAAAUAUGCUGUCGAAAGAAAAAAAUCCAACGUCAAAGUGUAUAUACGUUGCAACGCCGACAUAACUAGACUACAUUCCAAAAGUAACGAUUAAGGAUGAUGAGUAAAAUCCCUGAAAGAUGAAAUCAAAAACACGCAAGACGCCACUAUGCAUAUGUUUUAACAGAUGUAUCAGAGAUAAAUUUCAAACAAGGAUCCCUCUUGAGACUGAACAGUAUCACUUGCGUAUAUGAAAACCUAAUCUAUGAAAUUAUAUAAAAGGGAUUGGGAGAGAAUUAUACAGGAGAGUGAGGAGGCUCCUUGAAUCUGCACGUGUCACUUCAUAGAUAGCAAUUUAAAAUAUAGCAAUGCAAAUAAGAAGGAACAAAGAUAUCUCCAUGUGAAAAACAACCAAAUUUAACAAUUUUCCAUAUCAAUUUAGAAGCAUCAACAUAUGAACAAAGAAACGACAUUCGUAAGAAAUUCCAAACACAUUAAAAGAGUUGCGGUAAAGAGGAGAGAGCUAAAGCCAGUAUUACAGCGACCCUUGCAAAAGAUGUCACAACUAUUAGUAAAAGUAACAGGUGAACGUCAGAGUAUAAUUACCACACUACAUGUCAACAGCCAUCAGAAAUCAUCGGAGUCGGAAGAGAGAGCAUAAUAUAUACCAAGUAACAUUGGUUUUCGUGAAAAACAUCUACAUCGUGAUUUCUGUUACGCAAAAUAUUUUGACUAUCAACAGAAUAAUUCUACCGAUUAUAGUAACAGAAAAAAGAAGGAAUAUAAGGAAAGACAGAAGAAAUUUUAAUUCUAGACGCAAGUUUUGGAACAAAAUAUUAACUACCAGCUCUAGAUAGAUAUUUUAUUGGAAUGUGCUAAAUUUACCUGUUAUAUUCAUAGCGUGCAUCUUGCUAUGUUUCCGUAAUAUUGAAAUUUACGACCUCAAAGUUAAGAAAACGUACCUCAGAUAUAUAUAGAAUUUAUUUGUCAAAGUACUUAAACAAAAUGUACGUUUUAAUAUGAGACAUAAUACGUUAUAUAACAUGCAGCGUUAUUUCACGAGUACAUUUCCGCAUUGAUACCUUAAACUAAGUGAUUAUAAUUCCUGCCUCGUAUAAACUGUGUUUACCAUAAACAAAUUGUGCAUUACUUAUUCAAUAUCUGACACAAACUUCGCGGUGUUUCAGAAGACUACAUGCGAAUGUUUAUAUCUUACGCAUCUGAAAACUUUACCUGAACAAUGAAGCCUCGACAUCACCGGACAACCUGCAAGAAACAAUAGCGGAUGUCCUUAUCAUAUUGCAGCAUAGGAUUUCAAAGGCAAAACAUCAAUUGCAUUAAUUAGUUCGACAAUAAAUGAUCCUAAAACAUGACAAUUUUUUUUAUCGCACGCAUCUCAUUGUACAAAACAAAAACAUAUCAACACUGAAUUGGGUUAAAAUCCAAAACCAAGACUAAAUUAAAAUUUCCCCAUCUAUUUUAUUCCGCAAUUCUGUAUUAUGGGUGAGAGAUAUUGCUCGUAAUGAAACUAUAUGAAAAUAUUAUUUUCAUGUAAUAUUCGCUGAUGGAACAAAAUAAAUAUUUUAAAGUCAGUGUCUAAUAAACAAUCCUAAAGUAAAAGCCAUCUAUUAUUCAUAAAUGGCAUAGUCCACAAAAAUAUUUUUCACAAUAUUUUAUUGAGAAACACUGUGAGAUUCCUUUAUUUUAAAUGUAAAAAUACCUCUCCGAAAGCUAUAUAUACUUAUAUUAAUAUAUAGACAUCUGAACUCCGUAGUUCACAACGAUGAAAUUUAACAUGCAAGGGGCCGAACACUUUACAGACAUGAAUACCUUUCACAUAUUACAGGUACAAUUUACUUUUAUCAAUGAGUGGACAGACGCAAAGGAAAAAUAAAGUGUGUUGCUCAAAAACACAACGACAGGAAUCGAACUCACAUACACAAUAAUCGAAAUAAAUAUACACAAAUACAUAUAAAUACAUUUGAUAUAGUCUAAUGUAAAUCCGAACAUUUGUGAAACGUGGAGAAAUAAUUUGCUCACAUUAAAAUGGUAUUAGAUACGACAAUAAACGCAGUUGCACUAUGCAUCUCCAUUUUCAUACUGUCUUUUGGCACUCUAAACAAUUUAAUCGUCAUCAUAGUUAUGAGUUCAAAGAAGAUGAGAGGUUUGAAAAUCACACCGUAUAUUAUUUCUUUGGCUGUUACAGAUAUUAUCACUGUAUGGUUAAAUUUACUACGUAUUAUCUUGAUUUCGUCUGAAAUUGAAUUGUCUGAAACGACAUAUAUUUUUUACAGAUACUUAAUUUUUAACGCCAAUGACAUGUCUUCAUUUAUAACAAUUAUUAUCUCCCUUGAACGUUUGUUGGCCGUGUACUUGCCAUUUAAAUUUAAGCAUAUGCCAAACCACAUGUAUUCUUUCUUCUUUGUAAUAUCAACGACGUUCAUAAGUCUAUUAACAAUUAAUACUACGUUGGUAUACUCUAAUAUCGUUUCUGAGAUGAUGCUUUCGAUAACAGUAGCUUUUCUAUAUGCCUUCAUCCCAGCGGCUUUUUUAUUAGUAAGCAAUAUUCUCCUGUUAUACAAGUUAUUUAACAGGCCGCGUCUAGGCCAGCAGCAACACGACAAUACACAGUCGCGAAAUACUAUGUAUCUUGCGAUCAGUAUAAAUGUUAUAUUUCUUCUUACAACUUUUCCUGUGGCGACUGUUGCAAUUUUAACUGGUCUCGACGAUUCUAAGUUUUCGCAUGCAUUUUUAAUUGCAGACGUUUGUUCCACGAUUAACUAUGCUGUAAAUUGUAUUGUAUAUUUCUUAAUCAGUAAACAAUUCAGGAAUACAUUCAAAGAAAUAGUUUGUAUGAGGAAAAGAAAUUAAACAAGUGACAUGUGACCUCAUUUAUAAUUUUGCGAUAUCUAAUAAUUUAGGUUAAGUAACAGAAUCGAAGAAGCGAAGAGAAAUGUUCAUAGAAUGAUGAGAGGAAUGGGUAGUUGAAUAGAUCCGCCACUUUGCUUGAAUGACAAUUAUUCUAUCAUCUCCGAACGUAUGAAAGGCGACACGCCCGUAUGAUUCGAAUUCUAUUGGAAAGUGUCUGAUUGUUGAAUAAAUUGACGUGAGCAUAAAAAAAAUAUCCACGCAACUGCAAAUGUUAAUACUUAUCAUACUGCUAUUACUACCACCGUCGCCAUUGUCACCAAUACCACCAUCACCACCACUAGUACUAGUACUACUACACCUGCAAAAUUAAUUCUGAUGCUGCUACUACUACUACUACUACUACUACUACUACUACUACUACUAUUUUUCCAUUCAUAUAUGAUGCCCUAAGUUGUGGACUCCAUCCUGGCGCCAUUCAACCAUAACCAAUGAUAACCGAUAUUGCUAUGACCGCAAAGAGUAAAUUCAUUCUUCGAAUCUAAAACACAUGUUCACAUGUUCGCACAUUUUACAACAAAUAAAGGAAUGCACAAUAACUUCUAUCUCCAGUUUCGUCUCAAAUUAGAAUACGAGAAACUCGUUGAGACAAAGAACGAAUACGGAAACUCCGUUCCGAAAACUGAAAACUUAAAAAGUUAUAUUUAUUAUUGUGAUUAUAACAUCAAAGUCUGUAGGUAAACGAAAAGUAUUUCCCACCGUGGCCAAGCAUAUGUGAUACAGCGGUUAGCCAGCCGCAGCUUACA